UUUUACUCAUUUGGUACAUUUCUUGUUGAACCAAGGUAUAAUUUGUUCUUCUUUGAUGGUUCAAAAUAAUCACUCUACGUUUGACUUUGGUUCUUUUAUUAUCUGGCACAACUUUUAUAUAUAGUUAUUUUCUUUGGUAAAUUUAUUAUAUUAUUAGAUAUAUUAAUUUGUUAGUUUUGUGUACUAUCCAAGGCAGUAAAGAAGUGUAGAAUGACAACUCCUUUCUAUUUUCUAAUUCACUUUUACAAAUAUUAGUUUUAGUAGUUUUUUAUUUUACUCAUUUGGUCAUAUAUUUCUUUUCUUUUGGAAUGGAUGUGUAAUUUUAUUUUUGUUGGAUGGUUUGAAAUAUUUAGGUUCAUGUGGUCAUUCUUCUAGUUUUAAUUUUGAAUAAUUAUAAUUUGUGACAAUUUUUAGAAUAAUGACUAAGUGUAUAGUAAUUAGAGGUUUAAGAAUAACUUGGGUAAUCCGACAACUUGGAUUAUCCAAUCCAUAUUAUAUGGGUUGGGUUGGGUUAGGUUAAAAUAUGGAUUGGAUUGGGUUGGGUUGAAAAAAUGAAUUUUUUUUAGUUGGGUUUAGUCUCGGGUUGUAAGGUUGAAAAAUUCGAUCCAAACCAACCCAAAUUAAUACAAAAUAUAUAUAUAUAUAUAUAUAAAUAAAUAUUCCUCUCUUCUCACUCUCAAUCCUCCUUUGCGCGUCGCAUCCCUUUUAUUCUCACAUCUCCUACGUCUUCGACAUCUCCUUCGUCUCUGACUUUCCUUCAUCUCUGACUCUCCUUGUCCUACUUAUCCCGCGCAUUCCUUAUAUUAUCACAUCUCCUCCGUCUUCGACAUCUUCAUUUCUAACUCUCCUCUAUCUUUGAUCUUCACAGUUCAUCUCGUUAGAUCUCAGAUCUCAUAUACUCGCAGUUCGACGUCAUGUUCUUCUUUGUCAAUCUCUUCAGCUUCUGAAUAACCCGACAAUCCAAUUUAUAUUUUAUGGGUUGGUUUAGAAACUUGAUUUAACCCAAAUAACCUAAAAGUAUGGGUUUGGUUGAGAUGUUUCUCAACCCAACCUUACUACACCCUUAACAGCAACUUUUUUAAAAAUUGCAGAUAUAGCAAAAUUCUUUAGUGAUAAACUUCUAUCGCUCAUAGAUUAUUAUGGUCUAUCAUGAUUGAUUUUGACAGAUUUUGCUUUAUUUGUAAAUUUUUUAAAAUGUUGCUAUAUAUUUAAUUAUUUUAAAU
rnacentral:lncRNA from 1 species